UAGGGAAUCUUCCGCAAUGGGCGAAAGCCUGACGGAGCAACGCCGCGUGAGUGAUGAAGGUCUUCGGAUCGUAAAACUCUGUUAUUAGGGAAGAACAUAUGUGUAAGUAACUGUGCACAUCUUGACGGUACCUAAUCAGAAAGCCACGGCUAACUACGUGCCAGCAGCCGCGGUAAUACGUAGGUGGCAAGCAUUAUCCGGAAUUAUUGGGCGUAAAGCGCGCGUAGGCGGUUUUUUAAGUCUGAUGUGAAAGCCCACGGCUCAACCGUGGAGGGUCAUUGGAAACUGGAAAACUUGAGUGCAGAAGAGGAAAGUGGAAUUCCAUGUGUAGCGGUGAAAUGCGCAGAGAUAUGGAGGAACACCAGUGGCGAAGGCGACUUUCUGGUCUGUAACUGACGCUGAUGUGCGAAAGCGUGGGGAUCAAACGGGAUUAGAUACCCUGGUAGUCCACGCCGUAAACGAUGAGUGCUAAGUGUUAGGGGGUUUCCGCCCCUUAGUGCUGCAGCUAACGCAUUAAGCACUCCGCCUGGGGAGUACGACCGCAAGGUUG
rnacentral:rRNA from 1 species